rnacentral:rRNA from 1 species
AUGCGGCUGGGGCAGGGGAGGAGCUUGGGUGUGUUGGAGGAGGUCCUGCUGGAGGUGGUCGCCGGCGACGUUUGGGAGUCCCGGCGAGCUGCGGCUCGCCGCCGGCAGCGACGAGAACGGAGGAGAGGUGAUGCUCGGGCAGAGCACGCCCUGUGCACGGGCGCACUGGACCAUGGGUGCAAGAAAGCUUCAGAUCGGGAGCUCCUCUGCCGAUCGGAUUUGGAGGAGGCACCGGCGAGGUGGAUCGAGUGGGGUGCUGGUUGCGGGAGCUCGAGGAUUGAGGAAAGAGGAGGCCGAUGGAAUUUUGGAUCAGGGGCGGAUGAGGCUAGUGAUUGGCCCGGUGGGGAAUGGAAGGAUCCCGAGGUGGAGAUGCAGUGGACUGGUGGCGGCAGAGGGAUUCAGAGGAUGGGACAACUCUCCUCAAAAUUAGGGUUAUACUCAUAUUUAUAG